UGAGGUUUGGAGUAUGAAUGAAUCUAUCACCCAGACACCUCCAGAAAUCAAGCAUCCAAUACAACAACAAGCAAAUGCUCCAGGCAGUUACCAGAUUAAAGGAUGUUGCCAGUUCAAAAGUGCAGAAGCCAUACACACAGAGA